UAUUUAUACUAACUUCACCUUUUUAAUAACUUCAUAAAACAUUUUCCACACCUAGUAAAGGCGA
rnacentral:tRNA from 1 species